rnacentral:lncRNA from 1 species
GUCAGACAUUGGGAUGGCAUUUAGCUCGGCAGCAGCAGCUUCUCCAUCAUCACUGAACACAACUGAACUCCGUUUUUAUUUAAAUGAGGAGCUGUUUGAUAGAUACCAUUGAUCCCACUGUUCAACAACCAAAUGCUGAUAUAGUUGGCACUUAGUGGCACACAUUAAUGAACUGAACUAUGUUAAUGAAAUGUGUCAUCUUCUCUGACCGCUGACAUGCUGUGUGGCUACACAGCAUGUCAGCAGCAGCCUGCUCUCCGUGCAGGAUAACAUCCACAUUUGAUGAUUUUCCAACUUUUACUAAAUCAUUAAUAAUUAGAUGCUAAAAUCAUAACAUUCAAUCCAUUUCUACAUAGGCACUCUUUAAAAAAAAAGAAAAAAAUAAUUAAAAUACCACUGAGCCAUCAGCUAUUCUGGAUUGCACAACCUCAUCUCAAACAGGCUGGGCUUUGAAACAGUUUUCUUUACCUUGUAGGCCUUGAUUAGCUCCUCUGUUUUUCACCAAGAUAGAGAAUGAGGCCUCUGAUCACAGCCUCUCUUCAGGACUCAAUGCUGUUGUGCUAUAAAAAAAGAAAGGAGAUCAUGCUAAGUACAAACAUCAGAAUGCUAAUAUAUAACUAACUAUUUAACUGCAAUAAGUACAUGCCUCAUUUACCAUGUCACGGGUCUCAUCAAGUUUCUUCCCAACAGCUUAGAGGCUCAACAGCCUGGGUGUGUAUUGGUCCAACUUCCCCAGUAAUGUGAACUGUAGUGGCUUUAGUGUGAUCCUCCAUAAUUCAUCCUUGAUCUGCAAAAGAGGUCAGAAGUGAGAUUGUAGCAGGAUAAGCAUUUUGUCUUGUUUCCCCUCUUGUCCUUUGUUUACAUUUGGUUACUAUGGUUUCCGCUAUGCAUUGGGGUGGGCCAGUAUAAAAGCGGUAGUCUGCCCACCGGUUCGUCCUCUCAUCAUUUCCGGGUCGGCGGUUGUGUGCCCGACAGGGCGAUCGUGUGCUGCUGUGUGCUUCCUGUCCGUGUGCGCCGCUGUGAUUGUUUGGCGGUGUUGCUGUAGGCCGGUGGUGGCGUUGCUGGUGACCUGGUGGUGGCAUCCUCCCUUGUCUUGUCUUGCUGUGUCCCUUGGAGUGGGUUUUUCUUCACUGAGAGUGUGUCUGCCACGUGUGCCCGGUGACUUAAGUUUGUUUCUUUAUUUUGGUGGAUUCCUCCCCUGCACUAGCCUUCGUCCAUCCACUUCGGCCUCAGCCCUGAUUAGUUGCUGUAGGCCGGUGGUGGCGUUGCUGGUGACCUGGUGGUGGCAUCCUCCCUUGUCUUGUCUUGCUGUGUCCCUUGGAGUGGGUUUUUCUUCACUGAGAGUGUGUCUGCCACGUGUGCCCGGUGACUUAAGUUUGUUUCUUUAUUUUGGUGGAUUCCUCCCCUGCACUAGCCUUCGUCCAUCCACUUUGGCCUCAGCCCUGAUUAGGUUUGUUUUUUGUGUGAAUGAGUUAAUUGAUUUUUAAGAAUAUAUUAAAAUAAAAUGCAUUUUAAAACUUUGAACCACGUCUCUCGCCUUUAAGUAACUACGAACCUGUGUGCCUUGCGUAAGAAAAUAAUUCUCUGGGUGAAAUUCCCAGGGUGGCGUUGUUGAGCUUUUAGUAUUUUUCCUUUCUUUUCACCUCCUCCUUGCCACAAGAUGGAGAAAUAUCUUGAGAUACAGAAAAAAAGAAUAACAGAGACACAGAGCAACAAAAACAGAACAGAGUCAUGCAUUUUAUUCUGACAGCCUCAUCAGGCUUACUUUUGCUGCAUUUUAGACUGGGCUGUCACGACAUUUUUUUCAGUGAAAGACCAGAAUCUCUGCCCCCAAAAAUUACUUUUUGUCUGGUCCAUAAACUGAAAUAAUCUAACAUGUGUCCACUUUCCCCACAACAAUUGUUUUUGCAUACCUUCACCAGUGUGCUUGACAUGAUAAAUCAUCUGAUAAGCACACAAUGACAUAGUAACUGACCACUAAAGAGAUCGCCUAUGCAGCACGCAUCUCACUCUGCCCCCUGUACAGUGGGCUCUCUAUUUGAGAACUCAG